rnacentral:rRNA from 1 species
AGAGUUUGAUCCUGGCUCAGGACGAACGCUGGCGGCGUGCCUGACCCAUGCAAGUCGAACGAGUAUGUAGCAAUACAUACGAGUGGCGGACGGGUGAGUAACACGUGAACAACCUGCCUUAGACAGGGGGAUAACGUCUGGAAACGGACGCUAAUACCGCAUAAGACCACGCUAUUGCAUGAUAGAGAGGUCAAAGGAGC